rnacentral:rRNA from 1 species
ACACUCCUACGGGAGGCAGCAGUGGGGAAUAUUGCACAAUGGGCGCAAGCCUGAUGCAGCCAUGCCGCGUGUAUGAAGAAGGCCUUCGGGUUGUAAAGUACUUUCAGCGGGGAGGAAGGCAAUACGGUUAAUAACCGUGUUGAUUGACGUUACCCGCAGAAGAAGCACCGGCUAACUCCGUGCCAGCAGCCGCGGUAAUACGGAGGGUGCAAGCGUUAAUCGGAAUUACUGGGCGUAAAGCGCACGCAGGCGGUCUGUCAAGUCGGAUGUGAAAUCCCCGGGCUCAACCUGGGAACUGCAUUCGAAACUGGCAGGCUUGAGUCUUGUAGAGGGGGGUAGAAUUCCAGGUGUAGUGGUGAAAUGCGUAGAGAUCUGGAGGAAUACCGGUGGCGAAGGCGGCCCCCUGGACAAAGACUGACGCUCAGGUGCGAAAGCGUGGGGAGCAAACAGGAUUAGAAACCCGGGUAGUCCCAUG